CUUCCCUGGUGAAAUUCAUUUGCAAAAGAAGCAUGAAGAGAAGAAAAGAGAAAGGGGAGGAGAGAGGAAAAGAAAGGCCACAGAGAAAUCUGCUGGAGGCCAAGGUCCAAGAUCAAGGCGUCAGCAGAUGCAGUGUCUGGUGAGGGACCCGCUUCUUUGUUCAUAGACGGCUGUCUUCUCACUGUGUCCUCACAGGGCAGAAGGGACAAGGCACCUCUGUGGGGUCUUUCUGCGCCCCACGACUUAUGGGAUCUCAGUUCCCCUACCAGGGAUUGAACCCUGGCCAUGGCAGUGAAAGCCCGGAAUCCUAACCACUAGGCCACCAGGGAACUCCCCUGAUGACCUUUCUUUGACCUUGACCUUCUUGGGGCUUACCAGGGCACUUGGAAAAGGCAAGAGUGGAAACAGGACGUGCAUCAUUGAACAUCUAGUGUGUCCUCAGCACCGUGCCAGGUACUAUCCUUCUAUACGUAUAGAAGCAGCCACAGCUGGGUGGGAAAAAACAACAACAACAAAAAACGAAAAACUUGUGCAUUCCCAGAACAAGGUGACUCCCUUCUGAGACCAGAUGUGGCAUGCUUGGAGAAACAAGAUACAGGAUUUUCCCUGGAUGGAGCACAGAUACAAGAUGUGAUGGGAUAUUUGCUCAGCAUCUCCAGCCCUGGCCCACUUCUUGUGAUUCAUGUGCAGAUAAAUGGUGCAAUAAAAAGAAAUCUGGAAUACGUCUCUGGAAGUUUUAAAGUUCUCAGAAGGACUUGGAAGGUUUUGAGUAUACGGGCGGUAUUCCAUUUUUUCAUCCAGCUGAUGGCUCUGACUUUGGAAGAAAAAGGAGAGGAUACUGGGAGUGAACAGCUGGGGAUGUUGAUGGUGUUGACGAGGGUUUCAUUUCCUGGGCAAGAACCCAAGAUACUGGAAUAGGAGGCUCCUGGCAAAGGACAGAGAGUGUCACAAAGACAGGGAAGAAUGUGUUUGGCAGGAAAUUUCCAAAUGGUAUCAAAGGGCAUUUAAAAAGAUGGUCAUGGGAUGUGGAGGGGACAGCUGCUGUUUUUGUCUGCUCAGCAGCCGUUUGCAAUCUUCUCUUAACAGCUUCUUUAUCUUUGAAGGGAAACCAUCCAUCCUCAACUCACAGUUCAUGUGGCUAAAGAGGGUUGAUCCCAACCUUUGGCUCCAGAAAAAGUCAAUCACAAUCUCAAAGGCUGUUUCAGAACUUGGCUACAUGACCGGAUCUGGAUCAGUGAGAGUGGUCGCCAGGACUUUGCUCAAAUGAUUGGUAAUGAGGUAUGCUUUCUUUCUCGCUUAGAGAUGGUACAUUAUAAGCCUGGAGCUGCUGAAUGCUACCUUGUCUAAAUGAAUCUGAGAAGGGAGUCAACAUAGUGGAAAGCCAAGUCUAAUGAUGGAGAGAAAUUCCUGAAAACAUUAGAGUUCCUGGAUUUAACCAUGUUUGCGGCUAGCCCUACCCCUUGGACUUCUCAGUUAUGUGAACCAAUAUUCUCUCCCCCAGCCCCCCAGCCCUGCCUCCCGGUUUAGUGUAGUUUCUGUGGACUUGCUACCA